UGAUUCCCAACACUGGUACUGAGACCGACCAGACUCCUACGGAGGCAGCAGUAGAUAUUUGACAAUGUCGCAGACUGAUCAGCAUGCGCGUGCAGAUGACGAUCUAUGAUCUGUAAACUGCUUUUGUUCGGGAAUAAACCCCUUCACGUGUGAGGGCUGAAUGUACCGAAAGAAUAAGGGUCGGCUAACUUCGUGCCAGCAGCCGCGGUAAGACGAAGGACCCAAGCGUUAUCCGGGAUUUAUUGGGUUUAAAGGGUGCGUAGGCGGGUUGUUAAGUCAGUGGUGAAAGCCUAGAGCUUAACUCUAGAAUUGCCAUUGAUACUGACGAUCUUGAGGAUAGUUGAGGUGGGCGGAAUGUAUCAUGUAGCGGUGAAAUGCUUAGAGAUGAUACAGAACACCGAUUGCGAAGGCAGCUCACUAAGCUAUUUCUGACGCUGAGGCACGAAAGCGUGGGGAUCAAACAGGAUUAGAUACCCUGGUAGUCCACGCCCUAAACGAUGAUUACUCGAUGUGUGCGAUAUACUGUACGCGUCUAAGCGAAAGCAUUAAGUAAUCCACCUGGGGAGUACGACCGCAAGGUUGAAACUCAAAGGAAUUGACGGGGGCCCGCACAAGCGGAGGAGCAUGUGGUUUAAUUCGAUGAUACGCGAGGAACCUUACCAGGGC
rnacentral:rRNA from 1 species